AUGUUCAGAAUCCCUCAUGAGGUGUGUAACAGAGAAACUGCUGAGGUCAAGGACUGCUUUUCCAGGAGUCUCCAGAAGAUGCUACUUCUCUGUGACCCCUUUGGCUUCCACAGCAUCUGUGACCAAAUACAGGUACUCUUGGAGAAACAAAUAAAAAAAAGAAUGGCUUUCCAGAUUUUGGAGAAGAAGGAAAAGGAGAG
rnacentral:lncRNA from 13 species